GAUGAACGCUGGCGGCGUGCCUAAUACAUGCAAGUCGAGCGAACAGAUGAGGAGCUUGCUCCUCUGACGUUAGCGGCGGAGGGGUGAGUAACACGUGGAUAACCUACCUAUAAGACUGGGAUAACUUCGGGAAACCGGAGCUAAUACCGGAUAAUAUAUUGAACCGCAUGGUUCAAUAGUGAAAGACGGUUUUGCUGUCACUUAUAGAUGGAUCCGCGCCGCAUUAGCUAGUUGGUAAGGUAACGGCUUACCAAGGCAACGAUGCGUAGCCGACCUGAGAGGGUGAUCGGCCACACUGGAACUGAGACACGGUCCAGACUCCUACGGGAGGCAGCAGUAGGGAAUCUUCCGCAAUGGGCGAAAGCCUGACGGAGCAACGCCGCGUGAGUGAUGAAGGUCUUCGGAUCGUAAAACUCUGUUAUUAGGGAAGAACAAAUGUGUAAGUAACUAUGCACGUCUUGACGGUACCUAAUCAGAAAGCCACGGCUAACUACGUG
rnacentral:rRNA from 1 species